rnacentral:lncRNA from 1 species
GUUGGGUUAUCCUAUGGUAUUUGCUCCUUGACAACCAUUCUCAAGCAUCCACAACCUCACACUCAUAGGGGGUGUUUGGUUUGUAACCAAAAUCAGAAUGGAAAUCGAAAUCUAAAUGGCUGGGAAUUGGAAUCGAAAUGGACAAAUCCUCUGAAGCGUUUGGUUCGUGACUGGAAUCGGAAUCAAAAUUGGAAUAAAAAUUUGAAUCCAUAGAGGAGAGU